rnacentral:lncRNA from 1 species
AACCUACACCACAGCUCACGGCAACGCCGGAUCGUUAACCCACUGAGCAAGGGCAGGGAUCGAACCCGCAACCUCAUGGUUCCUAGUCGGAUUCGUUAACCACUGCGCCACGAUGGGAACUCCUAUCUCCCUUCUGAUACGUUCUACUUUUAGGGUGGCAAGAUGAUGUUUAAUCUUAGGAUGCAUGGUAAUCCUUUUUUCUAGAUCUGUUUAAAUUUCUUUUCUUUCUUCUUUCUUUUCUUUUUUCUGGCUGCCUCAUGGCAUAUGGAGUUUCUGGGCCAGGGGUCAGAUCUGAGCUGCAGUUGCCACCUAUGCCAUAUCUGUGGCAAAGCCAAAUCCUUUAACCCAUUAUGCCAGACCAGAGAUCAAACCUGUGUCCUGGCACUGAAGAGAUGCGGCCAAUCCUGUUGCGCCACGUGAACUCCAGUUUCUAGAGCAGUAGGACCCCAGAGAAAUGGGAACUGGAAUAGCUUGUCUAGUGUACUUCACAUAAUAAUUCUAUAUUAUUUUGUCUCCUUUUUUUCUCCCUAGUGAUAAGAGAUGUUCUACCAAUUUAUGAGAGAUUGGGAGUUAAAAGAAGUUUCAAAUUAUCAGAUUGUUUGCUUAUGGAAGGUAGAGAAAAGAAAUUGGAUUGGGUGAGCCCUGAAAUUUCAUAUUCAGUACUUCCAGUUAUAUAGUUGAGCCUGCCCAUUUCUAGUGUGAUCUUUUGUUUUAUUUUUUUGGCUUUUUGCCAUUUCUUGGGCCGCUCCCGUGGCAUAUGGAGGUUCCCAGGCUAGGGGUCUAAUCAGAGCUGUAGCCGCUGGCCUACACCAGAGCCACAGCAACGCGGGGUCCAAGCCGUGUCUGUGACCUACACCACAGCUCACAGCAGCGCUGGAUCCUUAACACACUAAGCAAGGCCAGGGAUUGAACCUGCAACCUCAUGGUUCCUAGUCAGAUUCAUUAACCACUGCACCAUGGCAGGAACUCCUAGUGUGAUCUUUUGUAUGUAAUUAAGAUACUGGUUUUUGGAAAUAUUCACUUCAGAUCAUAAAAUCUGGGUUAUACAAUACCCAGAGGGAUACACACUGGGAGACAGCAGAGUAAUUAAUCAUAAUGGAACUAACAUCUGUUGAAUGUUUACCAAGUGCCAGGCACCUUUCUAAGAGCUUUAUAUGCAUUGGCUUAUUUCAUUUCACUAUAAUUUUUCAAGUAGAGACCAUUUACUCUGUUUUUUGGAUAAGAAAAGUAAGGUUCAGACAUGUGAAGUAAUUCUCCCAGUGUCACUCAGCUUGUGAGUGACAGGACGGAACCAAAACUUAGAUUCGAUUCCAGAGAUUAAUAGAGUAGGUAGUAACUCCAUUUUGGAAAUUAAUGAAUUAGAGAUGUUAAGUAACUUGGCCUAAAGUUACAUAACAGUAGCUAACAGUGGUGUCAGGAUUUGAAUUCAUGUUGCCCUCUCUAAAGUUUAUGGUUUUAAAUUCUAAGAUAGCAUUGAGCACUAAGGAAUGCAGUAAGAGAAUACAACAUUUUGAGAAAAUUAGAAUUUUUAAAAAAUUAAAUUUGGCUGACUGCUAUUAUAAAUUCCGUUAUAAAUCAGGCCUUACAGAUUCAGAUUUUGUCCCAUAUUGUAAGGCUAAGGGAGAAGAUACCAUCUCAGGGCUUAAAUGACAAUGGUAAGUUGGCAUGUAAUGAAUGAGAAUCUCUGUGGGCAGAAAAGGGACUCUGGUAUCAUUGAGAGAUUUUGAUUAUGCCUUUGUUGACUAAUUGACUGCAUUUGGCUACUGUGCUUCCAAUCUUAGUUGCAAUUCCCACAUUGAUGCUGUUCCCACCCUUCCUGUGUCCCUUAAGCUGAGCAGGCACUUCCUGUCCUAUUGGAAAUGAAAGUUAGAGAUUGGGGGUGUGGUAUCUGUGUAUUUACUGUGCAGAGUGUUGAUACUGUCUGUCCCAUGAUUAUAGCAAAAAGGUGACAGGAAAACUAGAAUAGAGACUGGAACUUCAUUUAAGGGAAGUUUUGGGCUUAAUGUUUGUUGUGGCAAAGCAGACAGUUAGUUUAUUUCUUAGACUAUCCACGAUGGCAAUGAGAUGGCCUUAAGAGGGAAUUGAAGGUUUCCAUUCUAUAUCCCUAUUCUACUUGGAUUGUAUUGGGUACUAGGUAUCAUUCUUAAAUUUUUGGUUUCUAACAACUUUCUUUUAUUGUUAAGGUGGCUUCUACAGGACAUUCCUUUGAAACUAUUAGAGCUCAGAGAUAGCUUGAAGCAAACAUUCCAACUCUGUGAACUUCAGCUUAGGCAUAAAUUUCAGGUUGGGUGAGUAACUAAUUGUUUCAGCUUCGUGGACCUUGAGGAUAGGAAAUAGUGGGAUAAAGAUUCAAAUAGGAUGGUUUACAAUUGUUGAAGAAACCACUAGGCAAUUGUAUCUCAAUAAAGCUGGGGGCAAGAAAAAAGAAAUCA